AUUGAACGCUGGCGGCAGGCCUAACACAUGCAAGUCGAGCGGAUGAAGGGAGCUUGCUCCUGGAUUAAGCGGCGGACGGGUGAGUAAUGCCUAGGAAUCUGCCUGGUAGUGGGGGAUAACGUCCGGAAACGGGCGCUAAUACCGCAUACGUCCUGAGGGAGAAAGUGGGGAUCUUCGGACCUCACGCUAUCAGAUGAGCCUAGGUCGGAUUAGCUAGUUGGUGGGGUAAAGGCCUACCAAGGCGACGAUCCGUAACUGGUCUGAGAGGAUGAUCAGUCACACUGGAACUGAGACACGGUCCAGACUCCUACGGGAGGCAGCAGUGGGGAAUAUUGGACAAUGGGCGAAAGCCUGAUCCAGCCAUGCCGCGUGUGUGAAGAAGGUCUUCGGAUUGUAAAGCACUUUAAGUUGGGAGGAAGGGCAGUAAGUUAAUACCUUGCUGUUUUGACGUUACCAACAGAAUAAGCACCGGCUAACUUCGU
rnacentral:rRNA from 1 species